rnacentral:rRNA from 1 species
AGUGAACGCUGGCGGUAGGCCUAACACAUGCAAGUCGGACGGCAGCACAGGAGAGCUUGCUCUCUGGGUGGCGAGUGGCGGACGGGUGAGGAAUACAUCGGAAUCUACUCUGUCGUGGGGGAUAACGUAGGGAAACUUACGCUAAUACCGCAUACGACCUACGGGUGAAAGCAGGGGACCUACGGGCCUUGCGCGAUUGAAUGAGCCGCUGGCGGAUUAGCUAGUUGGAGGGGUAAAGGCCCACCAAGGCGACGAUCCGUAGCUGGUCUGAGAGGAUGAUCAGCCACGAUGGAACUGAGACACGGUCCAGACACCUACGGGAGGCGGAAGUGGGGAAUAAUGAACAAUGGGCGCAAGCCUGAUCCAGCCAUACCGCGUGGGGUAAGAAGGCCUUCGAGUUGUAAAGCCCUUUUGUUGGGAAAGAAAUCCAGCUGGCGAAUACCCGGUUGGGAUGACGGUACCCAAAGAAUAAGCACCGGCUAACUUCGUGCCAGCAGCCGCAGUAA